UGUAUCCCUCUCUUUGGUGGAUUAGAACUCCACCAGAAUUGGGCGAUGACACUGGCUAGGUUUUCACAUAUCUCCAAAGGGAGCAGGAAAGUAGACAUAACGUAUGGGAAGAGCGAGCAAAAUGGACUUAAUCAGUACUUCCUUUCCACCUUUUGAGAACCAUCUACCUGUCCAUCCAUUCACUCUAUGCAUCAACUUGUCCUUUAGAAAAGCAAAAAGUUUGCAUUUAGAUCCACUUAUGUCUUUGGAGAUGCCUAGGUAAGUUCCCAUUCCUC
rnacentral:lncRNA from 1 species